UUAAAUUGAAGAGUUUGAUCAUGGCUCAGAUUGAACGCUGGCGGCAGGCCUAACACAUGCAAGUCGAGCGGUAGCACAGAGAGCUUGCUCUCGGGUGACGAGCGGCGGACGGGUGAGUAAUGUCUGGGAAACUGCCUGAUGGAGGGGGAUAACUACUGGAAACGGUAGCUAAUACCGCAUAACGUCGCAAGACCAAAGUGGGGGACCUUUGGGCCUCAUGCCAUCAGAUGUGCCCAGAUGGGAUUAGCUAGUAGGUGGGGUAACGGCUCACCUAGGCGACGAUCCCUAGCUGGUCUGAGAGGAUGACCAGCCACACUGGAACUGAGACACGGUCCAGACUCCUACGGGAGGCAGCAGUGGGGAAUAUUGCACAAUGGGCGCAAGCCUGAUGCAGCCAUGCCGCGUGUGUGAAGAAGGCCUUCGGGUUGUAAAGCACUUUCAGCGGGGAGGAAGGCGAUAAGGUUAAUAACCUUGUCGAUUGACGUUACCCGCAGAAGAAGCACCGGCUAACUCCGUGCCAGCAGCCGCGGUAAUACGGAGGGUGCAAGCGUUAAUCGGAAUUACUGGGCGUAAAGCGCACGCAGGCGGUCUGUCAAGUCGGAUGUGAAAUCCCCGGGCUCAACCUGGGAACUGCAUUCGAAACUGGCAGGCUAGAGUCUUGUAGAGGGGGGUAGAAUUCCAGGUGUAGCGGUGAAAUGCGUAGAGAUCUGGAGGAAUACCGGUGGCGAAGGCGGCCCCCUGGACAAAGACUGACGCUCAGGUGCGAAAGCGUGGGGAGCAAACAGGAUUAGAUACCCUGGUAGUCCACGCCGUAAACGAUGUCGAUUUGGAGGUUGUGCCCUUGAGGCGUGGCUUCCGGAGCUAACGCGUUAAAUCGACCGCCUGGGGAGUACGGCCGCAAGGUUAAAACUCAAAUGAAUUGACGGGGGCCCGCACAAGCGGUGGAGCAUGUGGUUUAAUUCGAUGCAACGCGAAGAACCUUACCUGGUCUUGACAUCCACAGAACUUAGCAGAGAUGCUUUGGUGCCUUCGGGAACUGUGAGACAGGUGCUGCAUGGCUGUCGUCAGCUCGUGUUGUGAAAUGUUGGGUUAAGUCCCGCAACGAGCGCAACCCUUAUCCUUUGUUGCCAGCGGUUAGGCCGGGAACUCAAAGGAGACUGCCAGUGAUAAACUGGAGGAAGGUGGGGAUGACGUCAAGUCAUCAUGGCCCUUACGACCAGGGCUACACACGUGCUACAAUGGCAUAUACAAAGAGAAGCGACCUCGCGAGAGCAAGCGGACCUCAUAAAGUAUGUCGUAGUCCGGAUUGGAGUCUGCAACUCGACUCCAUGAAGUCGGAAUCGCUAGUAAUCGUAGAUCAGAAUGCUACGGUGAAUACGUUCCCGGGCCUUGUACACACCGCCCGUCACACCAUGGGAGUGGGUUGCAAAAGAAGUAGGUAGCUUAACCUUCGGGAGGGCGCUUACCACUUUGUGAUUCAUGACUGGGGUGAAGUCGUAACAAGGUAACCGUAGGGGAACCUGCGGUUGGAUCACCUCCUUACC
rnacentral:rRNA from 1 species